rnacentral:misc_RNA from 1 species
GAAAUAAUUUUUUCUAAAAAAUUAUUGAAUGUCUUUCCCUGUUUGAUGGAGCUGUAAUAGCAAAGUCAAUCAGGGGAAUGGCAAACGAUAAUUUUUUUUGAAAAGACCUUUUUUUAAAAUUAAACUUUUUGUAUUCAUUUGUCUAAAAUUAUUUUUAUAAUAUAAAAACAACUUUUGACAAUGGAUCUCUUGGUUCUCGCAACGAUGAAGAACGCAGCAAAAUGCGAUAAGUAAUGUGAAUUGCAGAAUACGUGAAUCAUCGAAUCUUCGAACGCAUAUUGCACUUUUUUGGUUUACCAAAAAAGUAUGUCUGUUUGAGUAUCAGUAAAAUAUUCUCAUAAAAACUAUUGUUUUUAUGGUUAUGAGUGUUUUACAACGAUAAACAAGUUGUUUCACUUUAAAUUCUUUGUCUUUUAAAAAAUCAUUUAAAAACUGAUUUUUUUUAAAAUUGGAUAAAAUUUUCCCGUAAAAAGGAAUAACCUGAACAAUUUUAAGAAUGAAUUAGUUUGAUUUUUUAAAAAAAGACCAAAAGGAAAAAAAAGUAAAAAUUAACUUGAUCUCGAAUCAGAUAAGAGUAUCCGCUGAACUUAAGCAUAUCAAUAAGCGGAGGAAAAGAAACUAACUAGGAUUCCCUCAGUAACGGCGAGUGAAGCGGAAGAGCUCAAAUUUGAAAUCCUCAAGGUUUUACCUUGACGAAUUGUAGUUUAAAGAAGUGUUUUCUGUUGGAGUUUUGGUAAAAGUUCUUUGGAAAAGGACAUCGUAGAGGGUGAGAAUCCCGUAUUUGACCAUUAUUUCCAGCUUUGUGAUACACUUUCAAAGAGUCGGAUUGUUUGGGAAUGCAGUCCAAAAUGGGUGGUAAAUUUCAUCUAAAGCUAAAUAUUGGCGAGAAACCGAUAGCGAACAAGUACCGUGAGGGAAAGAUGAAAAGAACUUUGAAAAGAGAGUUAAACAGUACGUGAAAUUGUCAAAAGGGAAGCGUUUGACACCAGUGUUGUUUUCUCGAAAAUCAAUUAAAAAGAUUGGAUUUUGUGUUGUAUUGACUUUAUCAGCUUUCUGCACUUUUUUCUUGUCUUUUUUAAUGCACUUUUCGUUUAACAAGUCAACAUCAAUUUCUUUUGUUGUAAAAGAGUCAUUGGAAGGUGGCUUUCUUUUCGGAGAAAGUGUUUAUAGCCUUUGGCUUCUGCAAUCGGAGAGAUUGAGGUCUGCAGCGUAGAUCCUUCGGGGUUAGAUACAUUUGUGCUAAGUUAUAGCCUUUCAUAGACAACUUGUUGACUAUGAUCAGUCAUGUAGCUUACUCGCUUAUGCUAUUUUACCUACGCUUAGGAUGUUGAA